UACGAAGGGGGCUAGCGUUGCUCGGAAUCACUGGGCGUAAAGGGUGCGUAGGCGGGUCUUUAAGUCAGGGGUGAAAUCCUGGAGCUCAACCCCAGAACUGCCUUUGAUACUGAAGAUCUUGAGUUCGGGAGAGGUGAGUGGAACUGCGAGUGUAGAGGUGAAAUUCGUAGAUAUUCGGAGGAACACCAGUGGCGAAGGCGGCUCACUGGUCCAUUACUGACGCUGAGGUGCGAAAGCGUGGGGAGCAAACAGG
rnacentral:rRNA from 1 species